CCUCCCCAGGCGCAGCCAUCACCUUCGCCAGGACCUACCUGCUGAGCCCUGGUGCGGGGCGCCGGCCCAGUGUGCCGGCGGUGCUGGUGGUCCUGGCAGACGGCCCCUCCGGGGAUGAUGCCAUCACUGCAGCCAGGGACAUCAAGGCUGGGGGGGUUCAGCUGCUGGCGGUGGGCUUGGAGGGGGCAGACCGGGAGCAGCUCCGGCGCAUGGUCACCAGCGAGGACCCGCGGUACAUCUAUCAUGGUGGCAGUGCCCUGGAAGAGCUGGAGGGAGAGCUCACCAACGACCUCUGCACCAUCAUCUCCACCAGGCCGGAACUGGAACCGAAGCCAAAGCCCUGCACUGUGCAGUGCCCCAGGGGCGAGAAGGGAGACCGCGGUGAGGCAGGACUGCAAGGACGCAUAGGGCCACCGGGCCCCCCUGGCGAGCCGGGCCGCCAUGGGCUGCCUGGCUCUCCAGGACCCCCGGGACCACAGGGUCUGCCAGGAGAGAGCGCUGAGCGGCCAGGCAAGAAAGGCGACAGGGGGUUCCCUGGAGCUGAUGGGACACCAGGAAGCCCUGGCCGCCCUGGGAACCCUGGAUCACCUGGCCAGCCAGUGAGUGGGGGUGUCCCUUGGGUUUGUUGCUGCAUGGUGGGCUCUUCCCAUCGCCCUGCCUGCCCAGUCUGCUCCCUGAGCCAGUCUCUGCCUACCCUUUCCAUGUGCCAGGGCGUCUCCGUUGCUGGCAGGGUCACUACUGUCCUCUGUGUGUGUGUCCAGGCCAAGUGUACUGGGCAGGGACUGUCCAUCCCUGCCUUGGCUGGAGCCCAUAUCCCAUUCCAUCCCAUCCCAUCCCAUCCCAUCCCAUCCCAUCCCAUCCCAUCCCAUCCCAUCCCAUCCCAUCCCUGUUUCCCUGGCUGA
rnacentral:lncRNA from 1 species